CGUAUUCCAGAUACACCUCGAUGCAGAGGUCGGGACAUUGUUAUAACCUGAAAUCCCCAAGGGUUGGCAAGAUGGGGAAAAAUAUAUGAACACACAAGAAACAACUCAGUGAAAUAUUUUUAAAGUUGAAAGAAGUAAAAUAU